UUUAAACACUGAAUUAUGUCCAUAAAGAUUAAGAGCCUUAGGGGAUGUCUUUUCAUGUAGUUUGCAUACAUUAAAGCUGACUCUUUGUGAUGUGCAGGCCUCCGGUUUUUGACAAAUGCAUGAAAUUGUGUAUUUUCCACCCCAGGAACAUUCAAAGCAGUUCCAUCACCCUAAAUAUUCACGUGUGCAUCCUCUUUGGAGUCAGCCACACCUUGUCUACCAGUCCCUGGCAACCGCCAAUGAUGAAUUGAAUUCUACAAUUCUCGUAGGAAAUCCCGCAGCAUCUCAAGGGGCCAGGAGAGGUUUUGCCAGGGAAGCCAUAGGGAGCUAAAGCACACUGGAAGAGCUGACUCCGGAGCUACAUAAUCACGGGAGCCGUGAACCUUCCACGGUUAGUUUCCUGCAUUCCCUGGGUCACCGCUAGCUCAUGGGAGCAGGCUCCAAAAAGCUGCACACAAAAUGUUCCCGUUGGGUGUGGAGGGCGGCACUGGCCUCCUGCCUGAGGAAAGGCAGGUGUAGUUCCAGGUGACAGGUACAUGAAGGAAAGGCUUUCCUUCUGAGCAUUCCCUAAUUGGAGGGGUCUCCAGAGAGCUGCCACAAAGGGGGCACCGAGAUGAGGCUGGGAAGGGGAUUCCCUGAUUGAAUCUGGGAACCCCAGCUCCCUCAACCCUAAGGACUAGUCUGAUCUGUUAUUUUAGGACAGUGAGGCUAUGUGUCCCCCUCCCGCCGACCUAUGUGUCCUUUUGCCCGGUGUGGAGCGGAUGAGUACACACGAUUCACUCAGGGAGAAGGAGAAACAGCGGGACUCUAGAAACUUCUUUCAGACCCUUGCUACUGCAGCCUUAUCCACCAAGGCCACGCCCUCAGCGCUGGGGUUUCUCGGAGCAGUCAGCGCACGUGUUCAAAGGUAGGCAGUUUCGAAGGUAGGCAGCACCUUGCUCGCUUGUAAUGCCCGUUCUAGUCCCGUGUAAAGGCACUGACCGUGUAAAGGCACUGGCCGGCAUUCUAGUUCGCGUUCUGCGAGAGUUCGUCUAUAAUGCUGACUCUUAGAGUGUGUGGGAGACCAAAAUGACGGGGGUGGGGGUGGGGUCACAGGUGGCAGUGGUGGGAACUUGGGUGGAUCCUCGCAGUGGACCUGCUUCAAGAAAGUGGGGAUUUGUGAAAACAGAGGUGCAUCAAAAAAGAGGGGGAAAGACAAGACUGCACUGCCCAAGAGGAGAACUAGUGUAGGAUGACCGACAGAGACUUUAAAGCCUCAUUAGAUUCAUUCGCCUGCACCUGUAUGUGUGACUUCAUCAUCAUUUUGAUUUUUAUCUUCUUCCAUACUCCUC
rnacentral:lncRNA from 1 species